UGGGGUAUAGCUCAGUGGUAGAGCACAUGCUUAGCAUUCAGGAAGUCUUGGGUUCAAUCCCCAGUAUCUCCA
rnacentral:tRNA from 1 species